UACGAAGGGGGCGAGCGUUGUUCGGAAUUACUGGGCGUAAAGGGCGCGCAGGCGGCCUUAGAAGUCAGAUGUGAAAGCCCCGGGCUCAACCUGGGAAUGGCAUUUGAUACUCUGAGGCUGGAGUACGGGAGAGGAGAGUGGAAUUGCCCAGUGUAGAGGUGAAAUUCGUAGAAUAUUGGGAAGAACACCGGGUGGCGAAGGCGGCUCUCUGGACCGUAACU
rnacentral:rRNA from 1 species